rnacentral:rRNA from 1 species
AGCGAACGCUGGCGGCAGGCCUAACACAUGCAAGUCGAACGAAGUCUUCGGACUUAGUGGCGGACGGGUGAGUAACACGUGGGAACGUACCUUUUGGUUCGGAACAACUCAGGGAAACUUGAGCUAAUACCGGAUGAGCCCUUAGGGGGAAAGAUUUAUCGCCGAAAGAGCGGCCCGCGUUAGAUUAGCUAGUUGGUGAGGUAAAGGCUCACCAAGGCUACGAUCUAUAGCUGGUCUGAGAGGAUGAUCAGCCACACUGGGACUGAGACACGGCCCAAACGCCUACGGGAGGCAGCAGUGGGGAAUCUUGCGCAAUGGGCGAAAGCCUGACGCAGCCAUGCCGCGUGAAUGAUGAAGGUCUUAGGAUUGUAAAAUUCUUUUACCAGGGACGAUAAUGACGGUACCUGGAGAAAAAGCCCCGGCUAACUUCGUGCCAGCCGCCGCAGUAACAC